rnacentral:lncRNA from 1 species
UGAAACAAUGUAUCUUUAACAAGUAUCACAUCAAAGUAAGCGGAAAUAAACAACUGGGCAAUCUCCCACAGGAAGAUGACCGGCGCGUCGUUAGACUUAGAAAUCAUCGUCGUCGAUAAAAUCUUCAUCAAAGUCUCCAGCAUCACCCUCUGAUCAAAAUUAAGCAAGGGUGAGCUCACUUAUGGUCGGGGCUCAGCAAGUGGGGGAAAAACUAAUGCAGGUAUAACAAGGUGAGGCUAAGGUUGAGCAGUAAGCAUUUUAGUUGGUCAACAUUUUAUUAACAACACAUGUCUUACUAAUAAGUGUGAAUCCCAAAUAUCCCAUUUAAACAAAGGAAUAUGAGUAUAACAAAAACAUUUAAGUGAAACCACUUAAGCAAAUUAUUGGCAGAUCAUCGGAUCUCAAUUUAAUUUCAUCUUCAAGUUCAAUUAUCAUGUGAGGAGUCCAGGUCGCUCAUAACCGGGAGCACGGCUGAUAUAUCAGUUUUACACUCUGCAGAGGUGGUACAACUUUACCCACAAGCCAUGUAUCCCAUCUAGCCCGGGUUGAUCGGACCCUUAAACACUGCCGAGGUGAAUGGCUAGGGAUCCAUUAUGAGGCUUUCACAAAAUACCUUAAUACGAAGCAACCCGCUAAGGUUUCUAAAGACGAUGGUGGUGGCCCCCUGGGUGAAGUACCUUAGCCAAGAAUACGACCCCAUGUUAACGUGGGCUGCCAGUACCUACCGCUCCCCCUCUUGCCCAUCUUUCAGGUAAGGUUGCUAGGCACUAAGCAUAUAGAGCUAAUUACCAAAGCCAGAGCCAUGAUAGCACUCGUGGUUGCACUGUUAUCCUGGGUGGUCACUCCAUGUUCCAAUUAAAUUUGCAAUAAAGUUAUCUUAACCAUCGGGUUAAUGUCAUAAUUGCCAAUUAAAUUCUUGGAACAUUAAAACCAAUUAAUGAGUGACAUUAGGAACCAUUAAGUUGAGCGGUAGCAUUAAUCUUGCACAGCUUAAUUAUUUCCCCAGGUUAAACAAGGAAUACAGGUAGUAAAUCUAGGAAAUCCUUAAUUAGGUUAUCCCAUCAAAUUAUGCAAUAUAUCAAAAGGUAAAUAUUAUUAUAUGCAAUGAAUAGGUACAAACAGAAUAUGCAGAGGGAGAAUCCACUUGCCUUGCUCAAAAGUUUCCUGUGGGUCGUCCUCAAACAGAUUCGGAUCCUCUACCACACAAUCAGCUUCUAGUAUAAUCGCAAAUCAUACAUAUAAAAAGAAAACAUACACCAAUAAAUAAACAUACACCAUUCAACAAACAAUAAAAAAACAUAUAUUAUCCUAAACACACUCAUCCAAGAAAACAUUUGUAAUAAUCCAAACUUGGUUUGUAAAUUUAUAAUGUAAAUCUAAUCGUACUAAAGUUCAUUAUGAGAACAUUCAUUGUUUUAUUAAGAAAACUCAUGGGCUUUGUAUUUCUAUCAAUAAAUAUAUAUAUUCCAGUUAAUACGUAAACCAUCAUUUAAAAAAAACAUGAAUCACUAAUUAUUCUAUUUUAACUUUUCUCUAGAAAAAACUAUGUGCAAGUUAAAUAUGGAUAAGCGUACCACAUAAAUCAAUUUGUGCAAACUUAAAAAUAAGGCUAAACCAAACUUUAUGGGAAUAGAUAAUUAAAUAAAUAAUUACUUUUAUAAAUAAACAUAGGCUUAUAUAUAUGUAUAUAUUUAACUUCGCAUUUAGAAAACCAUUUUUAACGCAACUACCAUAAUUGAAUAUACUAAAUACUAUCACGAGAUAAUGGAAAUUAUAGUAAGACUAAGAUUAACAUAUAUUUAUGGGAUUAUUCACAUAUAAAAUAACUCAUUUAAAUUUAAUAUACAUGUUUUGUUUGAGAACUACCGCAGCAGCAUGGGCAAAUACAUAGUUAAAGAUAGACUUCAGGGAUUAGCUUGCAAAUCAACCAUUAUCUACUACCUCAGCUUCUAGCUUCUUCCCUGUUCCAAGUGCAGCAGGGAACCAUGUCGGACGAUGGGGGCUGGACAGGGGAAGUCGACGCAGGGGUGGUGAUGUGUUGGGAACGACCGACGAUUGGAGCUGCGCACCAGCGGCGAGGUCAAAGGGAAGCGCGUUGUCGGGCUUCGAAGCGUCCUCACCGGCGGCGGUGAACAGCAGCAACAGCGUGGCGACUUCGUGGGCAGCGAGUAGGGACACGGAGGUGGAAAAUGGGGGUCGGGGCAGGUGCUUGAAGGCGUGGGCUUCUCAAUUUAUAGGCGACGGGAGAGGAAGAUUUGUGGCCGAAUUAAUGUGGAUUGAAGAUGAGAAACGGAGGAUUUGAACGCCAUUAAUGGAGGAAACGGUCGGUUCUAAUGGGCCAGUAAUCCGAGCUGUAAAGGAGGAGAAGAGGGGAGAGCACCAGGGGAGGGAGAAGGUCGAUGGUUCCACGUCCAGUGGCGGCGGCAGCUAUUGCUGUGUUCUGCGAAUAGAACGACGGAAGAGAAAAUUGGGGAGAAGAGGAAUAGUGACUAGUGGGGCCCGCUUGGAAACAAGGGAACGGCAGGGGCUAUGUCCGCAGGGGAGAGAAAAAGUAAAUGUCGUGUGGGGCCCACAAUGCAGCCAAUGAGAGAGAGGAAGCGUUUAUCACGUUAAGCGUUUCAAAUUUGUUUUUUUUCUAUUUCUUUUCUAAAUUCAAAAUACAUUUUUAAAUAACUCUAAAAUUUAUAAUAAUUAAACCAAAACUAUUUAUAAAUAAAAUAUUUAUUUUUAGACUAAUAAUUAUUAUAUAAUUUUACUAGGAUUUUCCUAUAAGAAGAAAUGCUAUUAAAUAUCCACAAAUCAAUCAGGCGCAAUCAAAAAUUAUUUUAAAUGCAAAUAAAUAAUAAAACACUUGAAUAAAAAUUUAUUACCCUAAUUACCAUAAUAACUAAAUGCAUUAUUUUUAGUUGAUGACUUUUAUGGUGUUACAAACCUACCCCUCUUAAAAAGAAUCUCGUCCUCGAGAUUAAGAAACUUCCGAGAAUAACUGGGGGAAUUCUGCUCUGAGUUCAUCUUCUCUUUCCCAAGUGGCCUCAUCUUCCGAAUGAUGACUCCACUGAACUUUGCACGUGUUAAUAACUUUACUCCGUGUAAUUCUGCGAGAUGUUUCUAGAAUUCUGACCGGGUACUCCGAAUAGGUCAAAUCCUCAUUGACAUUCAGUUCUUCCAUGAGUAACUGUUCUUCUGGUACUCUUAAGCACUUCUUAAGUUGUGAUACGUGAAAUACGUCAUGCACAUCCGAUAAUCUAUUGGGUAGCUCUAACUGGUAGGCUACAUCACCUUUUCUUUCCAAAAUCUUGAACGGGCCAAUAUAGCGAGGUGAUAGUUUUCCCUUAACCUUAAACCUUUUCAUUCCUCUCAUCGGUGAAACUUUAAGGUAUACGAAGUCUCCUACUUCAAACGUCAAUUCUCUUCUUCUAUUAUCAGCAUAGCUUUUCUGUCUUGACUGUGCUGUCUUCAAAUUUUCUCUGAUAAUCUGCACUUGCUUUUCCGCCUCUUGGAGAAUUUCUGGACCAAAUACUUGACUUUCUCCAGUUUGAUUCCAAUAAAGUGGUGUUCUACACUUUCGUCCAUAUAGUGCUUCAAACGGUGCCAUUUUGAGACUUGCUUGAUAACUGUUGUUAUACGAAAAUUCUGCAUAAGGCAAACUUUUAUCCCAGCUUCUACCAUGCCUUAGAGCGCAAGCUCUUAGCAUAUCUUCCAACACUUGGUUCGUUCUUUCCGUUUGCCCAUCCGUUUGGGGAUGAUAAGCUGAACUAAAGUUUAGCUUGGUAUCCAUGGACUCAUGAAGUCUUUUCCAAAAGCGCGAGGUAAACUGGGUUCCUUGAUCGGAUACGAUCUUCUUCGGUACUCCAUGCAGACAGACAAUCCUCGACAUGUAUAACUCUGCUAACUGGGCUCCUGAGUAAGUUGUCUUCACAGGUAUAAAGUGUGCUACUUUAGUUAACCUGUCUACUAUGAGCCAUAUUGAAUCAUAGCCAUCUCGAGUACGGGGUAGUCCAACUAUGAAAUCCAUACUGAUUUCUUCCCAUUUCCAUUCCGGUACCUUGAGAGGUUGUAGCAAUCCUGCUGGUCUUUGGUGUUCAGCUUUAACUCGCUGACACACGUCACAUAAUGCAACAUGAGUAGCAACAUCUCUUUUCAAACCGUACCACCAAUACUUUUAUUUAAGGUCCUGGUACAUCUUUGUACUUCCAGGGUGAAUAGAGUAAGUUGAAUCAUGAGCUUCUCUCAAAAUAAGUUGGCGCAAGUGCUCGAUUUCUGGUACACAGAUUCUCUUCUUAAACCAUAUUGUGCCUUGUUCAUCUUCCGUGAAAUCUGGGGCUUUACCCAAACUAAUCAAAGUUUUAAUUUCCUUAAUCUUCUCAUCGGACUCUUGUCCUUUACGAAUCUCUUCUUCCAAAGUAGAUUUGACUUCCAUCACCGUUGCUUCUACAUUAUUGAGAAAUCCAAGGUUGAGUCGUUCCAUUUCCUAGCACAAUUCUUGUGACAUCAAAUGAGUAGUAACGUUGUUCACUUGACCCUUACGGCUCAAAGCAUCAGCUAAUACAUUUGCUUUUCCGGGGUGAUAUUGUAUCUCCAAAUCAUAGUCUUUAAUCAACUCAAGCCAUCUUCUUUGUCUGAGGUUGAGUUCCUUCUGAGUGAAUAUAUAUUUCAAGCUUUUAUGAUCUGUGAAGAUUUUGCACUUGUUUCCAAUCAUAUAGUGCCUCCAAAUCUUCAAAGCAUGCACUACGGCAGCUAGUUCCAAAUCAUGCGUAGGAUAAUUCUUCUCAUGUUUCCUCAACUGUCUUGAAGCAUAAGCAAUCACCUUUCCUUCUUGUAUUAGCACACAUCCAAGUCCAAGGUGUGAUGCAUCGCAAUAUACAUCAAAUCCCUUGUGGAUGUCUAGCAUUACCAGUAUUGGUGCAGUGGUUAACCUCUUCUUGAGUUCCUCAAAACAAUUUUGACAAGCUUCAUCCCAUUUGAACUCUUUGCCUUUCUCCAGUAGAGAGGUAAGUGGUUUUACUAACUUGGAAAAACCUUCAAUAAAUCUUCUAUAGUAUCCCGCCAAUCCAAGAAAACUUCUGAUCUUGGACGCAUCCUUUGGUUGCUUCCAAUCUAGUAUCUCACUUAUCUUUCCUGGGUCCACUUUAAUUCCACCAUCGGUAACAAUAUGCCCUAAGAAAGCAACUUCCUUCAACCAAAAAUCACACUUAGAGAACUUUGCGUACAGUUGGUUGUCACGAAGUUUUUGUAGGACUAGCCUUAGAUGAUCCUCGUGUGUUUCUUCAUUCGGAGAAUAUAUCAGUAUGUCGUCAAUAAAUACGACCACAAACUGAUCCAGAUAUUCCAUGAAUACUUUAUUCAUCAAGUUCAUAAAGUAUGCUGGUGCAUUAGUCAGUCCAAACGACAUGACCAAAAACUCAUAUAAUCCAUAUCUCGUCGUGAAGGUUGUCUUCGGUACAUCUUCUGCUCGAUUCUUUAACUGAUGAUACCCCGAUCUCAGAUCUAUCUUCGAGAAUACCUUAGCUCCUUUCAUUUGAUCGAAUAAAUCUUCAAUCCGAGGUAACGGGUAUUUAUUCUUGAUGGUUACUUCAUUCAAACUUCUAUAAUCAACGCACAUUCUCCUCGAACCAUCCUUCUUGUUCACAAAUAGCACUGGGGCUCCCCAAGGGGAUGAACUUGGGCGAAUGAAACCUUUUUCUAGUAAUUCUUCUAUUUGUUUCUUCAGUUCUACUAAAUUUGUAACAUCCAUUCUAUAAGGUCUUUUCGAGAUAGGUGCGGUUCCGGGUAAUAAUUCAAUAGAAAACUCUAUAUCACGGUCAGGUGGCAUACCUGGCAAUUCCUCCGGAAAUACGUCUGGGUAUUCGCACACUACUUUGAUAUUUUCCAAGGGCUUUUCUUCCAAGUGAUUGAUCACUGUCUUCCCUUUUUCAUCUGUUGACUUGUCUAUGUUAACUUGGAUUCUUUCACCUUGAAGACUUGUCAACAUAAUUGUUCCAUUGGCACACUGUAUCACUCCAUAUCACAACUUUUCAACCAGUUGCAUCCAAGAAUCACAUUAAUACCAUUGGAUCCUAGGACCACUGGGUUGACUGAGAAAUCUAUUCCUUGAAUCUUGAGAUUAACAUGGGGGCAUGAGUGUGUGGCCUUCAUGUCACACCCCGGUGAACUAAUGUGUAACAUCUUCUUAAGGGGGUACUUAGGUAUGUUGUGUUUUUCCACAAAUGACUCCGUUAUAAAGGAAUGUGAUGCUCCAGAGUCAAAUAAAACUGAUGCAGGUAUGGAGUUAACAAGGAACAUGCCAUACACUAUGUCGGCAUCCUCAGGCACUGAUUCUGCAGUGACGUGAUUGACCCUUCCUCUACUCUGGUUCUGCGGAGCUUUGUUCUGAGCAGAUCCACGAGCAGGGGGUGUUCUAGUCAUUCCUCUGGUUACUGCUUUUCUGGGGUGUCUGCUGUAAAGGCAUCCCACCAGUCGGACGCGGCUCCCUCGAGUCUUCCCGAGGCGUACAAGACCUUCUCCCGGUCGUUGCACUGGGUAAUAUCCAACUUAUUUCCAAUGACCUUGAUCCAGUCAUCGGCAUCCAAAGGAUCAACCGCAUGGAGAACGUUGACGGGUGAUGACUCAUAAAAUCCCGGUGUUUAUCUCUGGUCGGGGGUGCAUUUUGCUGUUGUUGCUGAUGCUGUUGAUUCAGCUGGUUCUGCUGAAUCUGUUGAACAGUUGCAGUGAGUCCUUGUAGUAACUGCAUCUGGGCAGUGAUGAACUGUUCCAUGUUGGGGUUCAGUGGUGGUGGUGGUAUCUGUUGACCACGCUGGUUCCGGUUGUUGUUGGGUCCUGAAUGGGCGUUCACCAUCUGAUUGGUUAGAUAGUGAAAUCCUUAGAAGAGUGAGGAGUAGAAAAGAUUCUAGAGGGGAAUAUCUUAAGUUUAAAUUUUUAUAUGUUCUUAUGUCCAUCAUUCCAUAAGACCAUUGCACUCAAGCAAGAAUCCAAAUCAAACAUUGCAAACAUCACCAUCACAUUGUUGUUAUUAUUAUAGUAUAACACUGUUUUAUCGUCUACUGCGUCUAGCUUAUUUCCAUAAACUAUCCUAUCAACCUAAAGGAGUAUGGUGAUAGACUCAGGGGUUCCAUAACAAAGCCUUCCAAAAAGAAUGAGAUAAAGCAGAGAAAGACGUUUCCUCUUCAUCAUCCAAAGGUGGGGUAGAGGGUGCUGGCCGAUCUUGAGCAACAUAGGCGAUACUUUUGUAAGCAGUUCUUCUGAUAGCAACCUUCUGAUAGACGAGAGAAAAUCAUACUAGAAGAGUUGAAUAUAAAGGAGUUGAGUUUUGAGAUAAAUUAAGUUUUUUAUGGAGGAAAAUAACUCAAGUUUUGAAAAACUAACUAGGCUUUCCAUUUCUAACUAGUCUAACGACCUAGGGUCGGCAUAGCUUUGAUACCACUUCUGUCACACCCGGUUCCAGGGGGUAGAACCGAGCGCAUACCAUAUGUGUGCCAGGAUCCAUUUCCACACAUAUGUUGACGUCACAAGUGUAAUAUAUCAAAAGACAAUGCAAUAAAGGCGUAAAGAGAGUAUAAUACUUUAUUACAUCAUCUGAAACAAUGUAUCUUUAACAAGUAUCACAUCAAAGUAAGCGGAAAUAAACAACUGGGCAAUCUCCCACAUGAAGAUGACCGGCGCGUCGUUAGACUUAGAAAUCAUCGUCGUCGAUAAAAUCUUCAUCAAAGUCUCCAGCAUCACCCUCUGAUCAAAAUUAAGCAAGGGUGAGCUCACUUAUGGUCGGGGCUCAGCAAGUGGGGGAAAAACUAAUGCAGGUAUAACAAGGUGAGGCUAAGGUUGAGCAGUAAGCAUUUUAGUUGGUCAACAUUUUAUUAACAACACCUGUCUUACUAAUAAGUGUGAAUCCCAAAUAUCCCAUUUAAACAAAGGAAUAUGAGUAUAACAAAAACACUUAAGUGAAACCACUUAAGCAAAUUAUUGGCAGAUCAUCGGAUCUCAAUUUAAUUCCAUCUUCAAGUUCA